rnacentral:rRNA from 1 species
ACACGACUACAUUAGAUACCCGGGUAGUCCUAGGCGUAAAUGAUGCGAGUUAAGUGUGGGGGCAUCAACGAGAUGGCCCUGUGCUGUAGGGUAGCCGUUAAACUCGCUGCCUGGGGAGUACGGUCGCAAGGCUGAAACUUAAAGGAAUUGGCGGGGAGCACCACAAGAGGUGGAGGCUGCGGUUCAAUUGGACUCAACGCCGGAAAACUCAUCGGGAGCGACAGCAGUAUGAUUGCCAGGUUGAUGACCUUGCUUGACAAGCUG